rnacentral:tRNA from 1 species
GCGCCCGUAGCUCAGCUGGAUAGAGCGUUGGCCUCCGGAGCCAAAGGUCAGAGGUUCGAGUCCUCUCGGGCGCA